UCACUCUACAAAGCGUGAGAGUUUUUUCUGGAAGGCAUUUUUUUGAGCAACAAAACCGGUCACGCGCACGCCCCUUAAAGCUAAAAUCUCUCGGAUUGUGUUACCAUUAGGUACAUCAAUACUUUUUAUGAUUAUUGUGACUACUAAUAAUUUAUUCUGUACUACUAAUUUUGUGUUUUAUGAGUUUAUCUUGAGUUUAUCUGUAUAGUGUAUACAUUUUUGUUUUGUUUUUAUUUUAUUGCCAGAAUUAUGAAAAGAGCAAUAUGUAACUGCGGUUUGAUUGAAAAUAAUUCUUGAGACUACGAAAAUGAUAUGUCAAAACUGAAUAUUGUAAUUACGAAACAACAUUUUUCGAGAAGCAACCGACAUUUUUACCAUCACUUAACCGGACAUUGUAAGAACGGCUCUAACUAUGAUGGGUACUCGGUGGAAACGGGGUAUCAUGGGGAAACAUAGUUUUCUUUAGGACAUCAAAACAGGAUUAAGUCCAGGACAAGUCCCCUUUCUGUGCUAAAUAUCCUAAUAAACUACUGCGACAACGUUGUUUUUGUAUGGAAUCACUAGGUUUUUGUUUAGAUCUUAUCGCAUUAUCAGUUAACAGUUUUUCAUCUCGUUCUUUAUCUGUGUCAUUUUGAGUCGAUAUAUUCUUAAUCUGAGUUUGUGUUGUGAAAAAUAUUAUUCGAUUUUUUUGAUUUUAAAAUAUUUCGAUUAUUAAGCUACCCAAGAAGCAGCUGUGUAUACAAAAGAUUCCAAUAAUGAGUUGAAAAAUGAAUGAAUUCAAACAUCUGAAACUCUUCAUUCCAAAGGAUUCUGUUUCUAGAUUUUGGAGAAAAAAUUAUGAGUAACCAAUUCGCUAGCAACUUAAAUAAUACGCUUU